AUCCCUGUUGAGCAAUGAAUAGCACGUUGGACUUGUAAUCCAAAGGUCGUGGUUUCGAACCUCACCUAGGAUG